GGGUGUGUAGCUCAGCUGGUAGAGCAGCGAUCUCCAAAGUCGCCGGUCGGGGGUUCAAAUCCCUCCGCACUCG
rnacentral:tRNA from 1 species